CGAUAUGAAAGUGUAUGUGUCCUAUGAAUUUUCCUUUCCUAACGAUCAACCUCAAACUGGCGGAAACCAUCAAACACAACAUUAAUCCUGUUCAAUGCUGUGGACAGAAUGGUCGUGUUACUUAAGUACUCAUGACGUCAUUAAUAUCCUAUGUUGUGGUUAUUGGAGUGGCAAUGGGGACUGGGGAGGAGUAUUUUUACAAGAGACAGAAUGGUCGUUAUACUUCAGUUCUCGAGACGUCAAUAAUAUCCAAUGUUGUGGUUAAUUUGAUCAAAAGUUUAAGAUAUCUAUCGACAGAAAAAACCGAUCGUUGGC